rnacentral:sRNA from 1 species
GCUGGGCACGGUGGCUCAUGCUUGUAAUCCCAGCACCUCAGGAGGCUGAGGCAGGAGAAUCGGGAGUUCAAAGCCAGCCUCAGCAAAAGCAAGGUGCUAAGGAACUCAGUGAGACCCUGUUUCUA